rnacentral:rRNA from 1 species
UACGGAGGGUGCAAGCGUUAUCCGGAUUUACUGGGUUUGAAGGGUGCGUAGGUGGGUCUGUAAGUCAGUGGUGAAAUCUCCGGGCUUAACCCGGAAACUGCCAUUGAUACUAUAGGUCUUGAAUAUCCUGGAGGUGAGCGGAAUAUGUCAUGUAGCGGUGAAAUGCUUAGAUAUGACAUAGAACACCAAUUGCGAAGGCAGCUCACUACGGGAUUAUUGACACUGAGGCACGAAAGCGUGGGGAUCAAACAGG